rnacentral:lncRNA from 1 species
GUUAUAUUAAUGAUACUUUUGCAGCCCAGUAAUUUUGUACAAAUAUCUAACCGUAUUUCUUAGAUGUGUGUGUGUUUUUAGGGGUUUGUCAAGUUAAGAUGCAUUUACUAAAAUUUCUGAUUGCAGUGAAUUCAUCAUCGCUGCAAAUUUCAGAUCUCAAAUCAUUUAUAGAGAAAAUAACAUUUUUUUAAAAAAUAAAAAUGUACUCAUGUUCUGCAUGACGUCUGUGAUUUAAGCACAAAUGUAUGUUUGUAUAAUCUCGUGUUUGUGGCGUGUGGAGCAGGUUCCUGGCUGCAGUCACGUCUCAGCGGUGGAAACUCCUUCCUCAUCCUCAGGCCUUCAUCUCGCUCCACUGCGACGCUCGCUCAGCUUCUCAGCAGACGCGUCUCUUCUGGGGAGUUACAGACCGAGAGCAGACAGAGUCCAGCCGCCUCCAGAAGCCUCACCUGCACACAGAGCUCACAUCAGGAGUCCAGCUUCAGCCCCGUGCAGCCCGGCUGCGGCCGGCGGCAGAAGUCCUUCAGACGCCAGACGCCUCAGAGAGCGGUAAACACUUUCAGUCGUUUCUUUAGAACACAACCCUCUGAGAGUUCAAUCCUAAACUGACAGGAGGGAACGUUUAAUGACUCGCUCUUCUGGUAUUUUUAACAUCCUUGUAUCGUUUUAUGACGAUGGAGGUCAUUUAUAAAGAAAAUUACACUUAAAACUGCAUUUUUGUUCAGAUAGUUGUAAAUCAGGAGGUUUCAGAACAAUGCAAGACUAGUUUGUGGCGCAGAAAUGGCGCCUGCUGCGCUGCAUUUCGAUGCUCUUGUAGAUCAGCGGUCUGCAACCUCUAAGAGUAAAAGAGCCAUUUGGGCUCGUUUUCUACUGAUCAAACCCUAGAAGGAGCCGCCUUGACUUAUGUUAG